UUUUAUUUGUGUUUUACUUCAUGUUUUUUGUACAAAACAAAAUUACCUAAUAAGCGAAAAUUGUCGCAAGUGAACUUCCUAACAACAAUAACUCUCCAACAUUGCUUUAUCAACAGUCAAAUCACAUUCAAUCAAAUCCCAUCGAUGAAUCAUUCCCAGAGUAUUUAUGGCCAGUUCCACAUGAAUGGAGCCGUUAGUUAUCUGUCACUAGUGUUUGGUGUGGAGGUCGUGAUUCCGGAGCAGUGCCAGCGAGCGGUUCCAAUCACUGACUCAGACCAGAAAGGGCAGCUGGCAUCCACUCUCAGCAAUGCGGCAGGUUUCAGCUGUCAAACCGGUCUGUCACAAGACGUCGUGUCGUCGCUCUGUAUGAAGUAUAUUUACGUGGUGUGAUACAGAGAGCGUCGUGCGAGCGGUAACCUUCUCGCGGCGGCCUGGUUUCAGUUCAGAGGUCAACGGCCGCGAGAUACCUACAGCUUGCACUCCGCACAGAGUACACGUAGUGCACAGUCACAGUCGACACUCAUGAUCAGGCAAGGUAAAAGCUGAUCAAAUUUCGAUUUUUCAUGGCUGACGGUCAUAGUCAAUACUGUUAUCAAAUAAUCCCAACGUCUUUUUGACUACCUAUUAAAUUAUAAUGUAGUGCGGACGAGUAGCUAGCCUUAAUACUUUCAAUCCUACUCGUGCAGGAGGCGGCCCUUAGAGGAGAAAAUAAAAUCAAUAUAAGAAAUGUGUAUAAAAAUAGA